GAUGAACGCUGGCGGCGUGCCUAAUACAUGCAAGUCGAGCGAACAGACGAGGAGCUUGCUCCUCUGACGUUAGCGGCGGACGGGUGAGUAACACGUGGAUAACCUACCUAUAAGACUGGGAUAACUUCGGGAAACCGGAGCUAAUACCGGAUAAUAUAUUGAACCGCAUGGUUCAAUAGUGAAAGACGGUUUUGCUGUCACUUAUAGAUGGAUCCGCGCCGCAUUAGCUAGUUGGUAAGGUAACGGCUUACCAAGGCAACGAUGCGUAGCCGACCUGAGAGGGGGGUGGGCCAACCUGGAACGAGAAACGGGGCAAAAUCCCAAGGGGGGGAAGAAGAGGGGAAUUUUCCGAAAGGGGGAAAAGUUGAAGGGAGAAACCCGGGGGGGGGAAAGAGGGUUUUGGGAUGGAAAAACCUUUUUAUAAGGAAAAAAAAAAGGUGUAAGAAAAUAGGAACGUUUUGACGGUACCAAAAAAAAAAGCAACGGGUAACUACGU
rnacentral:rRNA from 1 species